AUCGAACAAAUCGAUCAAUCGGCGAACGGCGAACGGCGGCGGCGACUUGGUGGCCGGUUGGCACCUUGUUGAUCUUCCUCCUCCCUACCUUCCUUCUUCCUCUACCUUCUAGAAGUUUCUAGCAUCUUCCUCCACUUGUAUUCCCUUAGUUCAUCCUCGUUUUCCACCUCUAUGUACUGGAGUUUGGUUGCUAUUGCACUGGAUGCUUGCAAAUUUGAGUGGUAUUGAGAUUGGAGUUUGGGGUUCCUAACAAUCUGGUAUCAGAGCUGUUCGGUUCACUGGGAUUCUUGUCAUGGAGGUGUUGGGGAGGCAGCCAUGUAAGAGGGAACAGGAAUUGGGUUGGGAAGGUUUUCAUCCAAGCAGCGUCCACCAACUGUUCGAUGGAAUGCCAAGCCAACCUGAGAUGACCAAGGAAGAUCAGAGGAUAUCUAAGCAUGUUCCCAUCAAUUCCAUUAUGAACAAAGAGGAGAAAUGGCUAGAUGAAGCUCUGGAUCGGAUAUUGGAGAAGGUUGAGCAAAUUGAGACCAAGCGUAGGUGUGAGGAGAAGAUUGAUCUGAUUUUGGAGAAGUUGAAUGAGGUAGAAGCUAACAGGAGCAAGUUCUUCAAGGAGAUGAGCACCUCCAUCAAGGCAACAGUUGCUGUCCUCGAGGCUGCAUCAUAUCCUCCACUCCAGGACCCACCUUCUUCGACGCCCACCACCUGUUCGACGGCGUGCCCCAAUAGCGGCAUCACUUGGGUAAUGAGGGGUUCAAGUCGCAGCGAUGAGGACACCACUCCGAUGGUCGCCAUGGAGCUAGGAGACAACAAGGACAAGGAACAAGCUCCCUAUAUUGUCACCAAGGACCUCCUCAAGGUCACGCCCACCAAGUGUUCGACGAAAUGUUCUAGCUUCAACACCAAGCCCGAUCCCAUUGUGGCUGCUGUGGUUACUUGCGCCACCUCUAUUGAGUCAUCAAUGGAGUUGGUAGCUACUGACAGCACCACCGGCGGCACCCACAUCGACACCCCUCACAGUACCAAGGCGACGCUCGCCAAGUGUUCGACGGUUGGCCUCGACGUCAAUGGUGGCACUAGGAAGGUUGUGGUAGUGUUCCCGACCAUUAUAGGUGUGUCCAAAACUGUUCCAGCAUCUCUUGUUUCAUUGGACGUUGUGCAAGUGGUGCAGGGUGUAGACUUGGCUAUGGAUACAAAAGCAAAAGCUACCGUCAUCUCGGAAAUGCAUGCCAACUGUUUAGAGCUGAGCCAUGGUGUCCAUACUAGGAAUCCUGAUGUCUUGUCAAUACCAAUAUCUGAAAUGGCCAGUGUCAAGGCUGCUAACAACAUCACCAUCGAACCAGUGGUUCAGUAUGUUAAUAAAGAGCUGGACAAGGCAUCCAAUAGGGAUAAAGGGGCCAAAGGCAACAGAGGUAUGGUGGUGGCUGAUCAUUUCCAACUGUGGCCAUCUCCUUAUCAGCUUUAUUGUGAAUAUUCUCGCACUGAGCAGCAACCAUGGCCACCGCCUACUCAAGCAGGAGACAUUGGUUGUCAAGUUGCGCUGCGACGAGUGCUAGGGUCAUCAUCCAAAUGCAGCCAAGGUGACUUGUUGCCGGUGACACCACCAGGGCCACUGAUAAUAGGAAAAUUGCAUAACUCGAGGAGCCGUUCUGCUGGAAUCACAGCUGAAGCAGUACUAUCAAUUGUUGAGUCUCAUGCAAUAUCUUUACACUGUACAAUUUCCAAGUCAAUGUGCAUGGCACUUAAUUUUGUUGAGAGCUGGCUACAAAACACAGCCAAGAAAUUAUACAAUGGUCAGUUGCUUAACCUUUCAGCUGGGAUACAUUUUGGUGACAGAAGGAUUUCUACUACAGUGUUUUUUGCUGAGUUGCUUGAGCACCCAACAAUACAUUUUCAGAUUUACUUAACUGCUUUUCACUGUGUUCAUUCAAACAAAAUCCUGAGACCAUGGAUUAUUGCUACAGCUGCUAAUGAGAAGCUGAACAAGAAGGUCAAGAGAUUUGGUUAUGAUUCCAUUGUUGGUUUUGAUGGGAACAAUCCUAGUGAUGCUAGUGUUGCAGCAAAGGUUUCCAUGGAUAGGAUUGGUACUUGGACAGAUUCGGAGACGCUAUAUGCAUCAGCUGCAAACAAGGAUUAUUUGUCUGUCAAAUUACUUGAGGUGGUAAGAAAGGGGUGCAAUACAUACUGGUUAUUAGAACUCAUAACUAAUGAGCUGAAUCCUUGGUGUUUACUCAGAUAUCAGAGGUGGCUAGAAAUUCUGGUGCUCCCACCUUUAACUAGAGCUGCGUGGACAGUACAAGGGAAGAUAGAACAUAACAUUAGUGGGGACAUAAUUUCAGCACCUCAAGUUAUCAAGUCUCUCUGUCUAAACAGGUCAUCUAUUAGGAGUUACUCAAGUUAUUUUCUCCUGAUACAUGCUCUGGUCAGUAAAUUGAGAGCUUGGGAAGCAUUGGUGGAAGACCAUGUGAUGCACUCCAAAGAUAGCAAAGUAUUGUUGAUGCCUUGGGAUCCAGGAGGAAUAAUUUGCAUCAGCUUGAGGGCAAGCUGAAUGUUAAGAAGAGGGGAUUGUCAAGAGCACAGUUGGGCUGAAUAUGGGCUAAAUUAGCCACGCUCCAACCCAGGCCCAAGCAAGCACAACCAAUAGCAUAUAUGAGCAACACCAGCAACGAGGGGCAUCCAUCGAACAAAUCGAUCAAUCGGCGAACGGCGAACGGCGGCGGCGACUUGGUGGCCGGUUGGCACCUUGUUGAUCUUCCUCCUCCCUACCUUCCUUCUUCCUCUACCUUCUAGAAGUUUCUAGCAUCUUCCUCCACUUGUAUUCCCUUAGUUCAUCCUCGUUUUCCACCUCUAUGUACUGGAGUUUGGUUGCUAUUGCACUGGAUGCUUGCAAAUUUGAGUGGUAUUGAGAUUGGAGUUUGGGGUUC
rnacentral:lncRNA from 1 species